AGCCAAAAAAAGUGCCCAAAUAUUCUAGUCAAAAAUUAAAGCAGCAUAAAAUUGUGACGAGGCCCAAAAAAGACCUAGCCCCAAAAAGACAAGUACAUAUUUGAACAUAACAUACUGAAGUGUCUCUAUCUUUCUCUGAGUUACUGAAGAAUGAGAAAACCCUAUCAAUGUUGCUUUUCUCUUCACAUUUUCAGUUCCGAUUCAACCUCCCAAAGUGAUUUUUACCCAGAUUUUUUAUCUUUGGUGCCUUCUUAAGUUAUUCCAUGUGCAAAUGUCUCAUCUAAGAUAUCUCAUAGUAAACAUCAAUCCCCUAUACAUAUUUGAGAGUGUCUUCUUUCUCACGCUGAAGAUCGUCCGAUUCUUCUUCUUCCGGUGAUGAUGACCAUCUGGAAGCACAAAUCGGUGCCCGUCCAGAUAAGGGUUCAAGUAUUAAUUAUAAUCUCCGCCACCACACUGUACUAUGCCUACCACUCUCUGCCGCAACUCCUCUUGCUGUGCACUGCUAGCCGGCGAUUGCAGCCUCUCCACCCACACCUAUUAGGGUUUUCUGAUCACACAAUAGCUCACCGUGAUGCCACCCCCGGCUCCUGCAGCCUAGAAACCCAGAUCUCUCAUUACUUUAUUUUCUCUCUUAUAUUUAUUCUUUUUCUUUCUACUCCCAUUCCAAGUACUACCGGAUCCAAUACUCGCCAAAAAUCAACAACUAUGAUCGGAUCUUUUCCUUCUCCGAUGGCUUUCCAUUGUAUAUCCAGUUACCCACACAAUUUUUGCUUCCCUUCUUCUGGACAUUUCCUUAUUCUCCGCUAUAUAUCUUUCUUCCUUUUUCUACUGUGUUUGCAUGUAAUAUUAUGAGCUAGACUCAAAUGACAUGUUUCCGAUGACAAUCGAAACAGUGGCCUCAAGCGACUUCCAGCAAACCUCUGGUGACUUCUAGCGAAGACAAAGUAUCAGAUUUUUUAUUUCUUCAAGAUUUUCUACAAAAAAACAUAUUUUGUUUCGACUCUUGCAAUAUUUGUAUUUCUCACAUAAUUUUGUCGGUCCUACCUAUACCUUUCUAGUUUUUGUUGUAUUCUUACAUUUGAUCAGCUACCAUUCAUAAUUUUAUUUGUUAGAUUCAGUGGUUUAUUUUCUACAAGUAUUAAGACUAGUUUGAAUAAGCCUUAUGUUCAAAUUCUCUGAUAUUUGAUUUAGUUCAAAUAUGCUUGCUUGUAUUUUGAUUUUCA